GAACCGAAUUCUGCUCAGCCCUAGGCUGGCUCAUGGAACUUUGACAGAAUGUAUUAGAAAGGUAACAGUAGCUCUGUAAAAAGGCUUGGAGCACAAUAAGCUGAAAAGAAUAUCCACCAACCAAGUUAAGUUCAUCAAGGGAUCUCAAGAUAUAUUUUUUUUCAACUCUAGUUGCUCGAAAAACCUUUAGAGACCUUACUGCCACAGUUAACCUGAAAUCUAUUAAUUAUACAAGGAAUCAGUGUGUGGCACCCAUUUAGAAUAAGCUAAAGGAGGGUCUGUUAAGAUGAUAGGGUUGCAGCCAAACUAGACAUGCAGAUGAACAGCUGCUGCUGCUGUUAAAACUAUAUCUUAGACAUGACAUUGAUGUACAAAGCCUUAAGGCUGAUAUAUUUCUUUAGUCUCAGGUAAUGUGCAUCCAUAAAGUGCCGAAGUUGUGGGCACCUUUGGGUUUGAGAUGAUUUUUAACAUAUUUCUGGUUUGAUUGUUUGUGAGUUUAACUCUCAUAAAAGGAAUGGAGGGGAGGUUCGAUUGGAUGGAGUUUUGGUGUCAAGUAUUCAGGUUCUAUUAUCUAGAAGAACAUAAUUAUAAUUGAGGAUGUAACUUGUAGGAUCAAAAUAGGAUGGAUGAAAUGGAGGAGUAUGACGGAUAUGCUAUGCGAUCGUAGAAUCCCUAACAAAAUGAAAGGUAAGUUUUAUAGAACUGUGGUUAGGCUAACUACGUUAUAUGGGAGUAAAUGCCUGAGCAUCUAAGGUACAACGUAUCUACAAGAUGCGUGCAGCAAAAAUGUGUAUGUUAAUAUGGAUGUCUAGUAACACAAUAAUGGAUAAAAUUAACAAUGAUCGCAUUCGUUAGAGAGUACAUUGAGCAAUUAAGGUGGUAUGGUCAUCUUCUAUAUAAAACAUCAAAUGCUCGAAGUAUGAUAAAUUAGUGAUAGAAUGAGUGAAAAAAGAAAGAGGAAGAUCUAAGAUAACAUGAAGGAAAUUAAUAUCAAAAGAUUUAUAAUUUUUAGAUAUUGAUAUAGAAUUUAUUUUAAACAAAACUAAAUAGCGAAAAAUGAUUUAUAUAGUCGAUCUUAAUCCUACCUAAUUUGAAAUUAAGAUUUAAUUAUUAUACUAAGCUUCCCAUGUAGUAUAGUUUUCAGUAUAUUCCUAUUCACUUCGGACAACACAGAGAAAUAUUUGUGUAUGGAUUUUAAUACAAUACAUUCAAGCAAAUGAAUUAAAUAAUAAGUGAUAUUCCCCUGCCAAACUGGCCCCAAUUCAUCAAGCUGGUCGACCGUCCCAAGUUUUUUAUCCCUUUCUUUUUAGAUGGUAUUCCUAAUCCAAGUGGACUGAGCUUUUAUUUUGAUUUUUAAUUUUUUCUGGACUAAGCUUUAUUAAAGGCCAUAUUGAUAUGCUCUUAAAUACAUGCUACCUACUGGCUUAAAAUAUUGUCCCACCAAGUUUAAUAAACACAACCAAGCAAUUUCCUCGCCAUUAAUCACAUGCAUGCC
rnacentral:misc_RNA from 1 species